rnacentral:RNase_P_RNA from 1 species
CGAGAAGAGCAGACUGCCGCGCACCAUGGGGCCGAAAGGUAUUGGUGUGAGGAAAGUCCGGGCUUCGCAGGGCAGGAUAACGGAUAACGACCGCCGGAGGCGACUCCAGGGAAAGUGCAACAGAAAUAGACCGCCUCGCUUUGAUAAAUCAAAGCUUGGUAAGGAUGGAAAGGUGAGGUAAGAGCUCACCUGCACGGCAGGCGACUGCGUGCAAAUGUAAACCCUAUCCGAAGCAACACCGUAUGCGGAGCUCCCUUUCGGGAGAUGCUUGCCCGGCAUAAUUCCGCAGGUGGCACAGAGCUGUGCAGUGAUGCAUAUGCCAAGAUAGAUGGCAGUACUACGACAGAACCCGGCUUACAGCUCUUACUCAUGCC